ensembl:miRNA
AGAAUAAUGCCAGCAGUCGGCCAUAUUGUCUCAAAGGCCAGCGCUGGUGUUAUUGGGA